rnacentral:rRNA from 1 species
GGGGACAACGUUCCGAAAGGAGCGCUAAUACCGCAUACGUCCUACGGGAGAAAGCAGGGGACCUUUGGGCCUUGCGCUAAUAGAUGAGCCUAAGUCGGAUUAGCUAGUUGGUAGGGUAAAGGCCUUACCAAGGCGACGAUCUGUAGCGGGUCUGAGAGGAUGAUCCGCCACACUGGGACUGAGACACGGCCCAGACUCCUACGGGAGGCAGCAGUGGGGAAUAUUGGACAAUGGGGGGAACCCUGAUCCAGCCAUGCCGCGUGUGUGAAGAAGGCCUUUUGGUUGUAAAGCACUUUAAGCGAGGAGGAGGCUACCUAGAUUAAUACUUUAGGAUAGUGGACGUUACUCGCAGAAUAAGCACCGGCUAACUCUGUGCCAGCAGCCGCGGUAAUACAGAGGGUGCGAGCGUUAAUCGGAUUUACUGGGCGUAAAGCGUGCGUAGGCGGCCAAUUAAGUCAAAUGUGAAAUCCCCGAGCUUAACUUGGGAAUUGCAUUCGAUACUGGUUGGCUAGAGUAUGGGAGAGGAUGGUAGAAUUCCAGGUGUAGCGGUGAAAUGCGUAGAGAUCUGGAGGAAUACCGAUGGCGAAGGCAGCCAUCUGGCCUAAUACUGACGCUGAGGUACGAAAGCAUGGGGAGCAAACAGGAUUAGA